rnacentral:rRNA from 1 species
AUUGAACGCUGGCGGCAGGCCUAACACAUGCAAGUCGAACGAGCGUCGCGGAGGGGAGUAAUGUCUGGGAAACUGCCUCAGGGGGGGGGAUAACUCCUGGAAACGGUAGCUAAUAUCGCAUAUCAUCACAUGUGCCCAGAUGGGAGUAGAUAGUAGGUGGGGUAACGGCGCACCUAGGCGACGAGCCCUAGCUGGUCUGAGAGGAUGACCAGCCACACUGGAACUGAGACACGGUCCAGACUCCUACGGGAGGCAGCAGUGGGGAAUAUUGGACAAUGGGCGCAAGCCUGAUCCAGCCAUGCCGCGUGUGUGAAGAAGGCCUUCGGGUUGUAAAGUACUUUCAGCGAGGAGGCGUUACUCGCAGAAGAAGCACCGGCUAACUCCGUGCCAGCAGCCGCGGUAAUAC